UAACAACUGGACAAAUGCUGCCAUUUGGUUCUUUGAAUGAGACAGUUAAGUCCAUGGGUUGUAAACUGUUGUCAUGGGUUGUCUUCCAUGGGAGCCUCUUUGGUCCAGGCCUCGGCCAUGGCAUCCCUCUCCUCCCGGGCCAGGCUGGUGGUCUCAGGGUGGCAUUCCUGGAUGUGGCGGCGGAAGCUGCUCACCUUGGCCAUGGGCAGGGCCUGGGAGCACACCAUGCAGAAGGUGCCACGACCCUGGGGUCCGUAGGCCACCAUGUAGUCCAGGCGCAGCCGCCAGGGGAAGCCCCCACGGAGACGCCUCUUCCUGGGUUGGUGGAGAGGGAGAGGGGGUAUGGGAGAGGUCAUCUCUGGAGCUCCACCAACGCCAACACCCACGUCCUGCAUCUCGGAUAACGCCUCAUCGUUGUCCUCUGCAUACGUGUCUGAGCCGAUCUGAAUGGUCUCCAGGUCUUCAGAGAAGUCCACCCCAGCAUCUCUCUCGUCUUUGGUGUUGGGCUCAGAUUUGAUGAAGUCGUUUAGAGGGUCGGAUACUGAUAUGGAGGGAUGGGGUGGGGUUGAGGAAUGAGAGUUUAGUAAGGGAUAUAAACACUGAGAAUACAAAACAUUAAGAACACCUGCUCUUUCCAUGACAUUGACUGACCAGGUGAAUCCAGGUGAAAGCUAUGAUCCCCUACUAAUGCCACUUGUUAAAUCCACUUCAAUCAGUGUAGAUAAAGGGAGGAGACAGGUUAAAGAAGGAUGUUUAAGCCUUGAGACAGUUGAGACAUGGAUUGUGUAUGUGUGCCAUUCAGAGGGUGAAUGGGCAAGACAAAAUAUUUAGGUGGUUUUGAACAAGGUAUGGUAGUAGGUGCCAGGUGCACCGGUUUGUGUCCAGAACUGCAAGGCUGCUGGGUUUUUCAUGCUCAACAGUUUCCUGUGUAUCAAUAAUGCUCCACCGCCCAAAGGACAUCCAGCCAAUUUGACACAACUGUGGGAAGUAUUGGAGUCAACAUGGGCCAGCAUCCCUGUGGAACACUUUCAACACCUUGUAGAGUCCCUGCCCCGAUGAAUUGAGGCUGUUCUGAGGGCAACUCAAUAUUUAUUUUACCUUUAUUUAAACUAGGCAAGUCAGUUGAGAACAAAUUCUUAUUCUCAAUGACGGCCUAGGAACAGCAAGUUAACUGCCUUUUUCAUGGGCAGGAUGGCAGAUUUGUACCUUGUCAGCUCGGGGAUUCGAUCUUGCAACUUUUCGGUUACAAGUCCAACUCUUUAACCACUAGGCUACCUGCCGCUCCAUAUGAGGAAGAGGUUCCUAAUGUUUGGUAUGCUCAGUGUAUAUUCAAGGAUAUAAAUGGCUAUUAAUCAGUGUAUCAAUUGUUAUCAGAACAAAAGCCAUUUUAGAUCAGUGCUGCAGAACAAAUCUAUGUAACUGGUUAACCUUUGUACACAGAGACAUACAAAUGUAACAAAAAUAAAAUCAGUCCUACUCACUUCAAAACACACACAUACAGAAGCUGAUAAAACGUCCGAAAGCCACAGUGACUGAAAUGAAAAGGCUGCAAUGCUAGCUCACCAUUAAAAACACAUUUUAUUCAAGCAACUAUUAAAAGCUUGACGUUUCGGCCUUCAUCAUAACAAUGACAAAGAGGAAGCCACAGUUACAGAAGCCACAGCUCCCUUCCCGGUCCUGUUACCACCCCCACGUCCUACCUCCCUCAGUCUCACCAUGUGUCUGGGCCCAAGUCUGCAGGAUGCAGUGCUUCUCCUCCGAGCUGUAGACCAGCGACUGGGGGUGAAUGUCAAGCAUGUGGCUCUUGAUGUGGUCCAGGUGGAGCGAGGGCAGCGGGCGGCCGCACACCAUGCACACCAGCCUGCCCUCCUCCGCCUGGUACUCCAUGAGGAACUCCUGUCGGAACCAGGCGUGGAGCGAGUCGUUCAGGUAGCGCUCCAGGGUCUUGGCAGAGGGCCCGGGGAGGUCUUCCUGCUGGAGGGGGACUGAGGGAGGGGGUGAUGGGGUCGGAGACCGGGGCUGGAGUUUGGGGGACACCAUACCACCAGGUUUUCCUAUGAGAGGUAAAGUGGAGAGGGGAUAUGCAGUUUAAAUGUUAACGUAAAUCAAAAAAUAUAGUUUGACAAUCACAUAAAAAUGUAAUACAUAA